rnacentral:rRNA from 1 species
GACGAACGCUGGCGGCGUGCUUAACACAUGCAAGUCGAACGGAAAGGCCCUGCUUUUGUGGGGUGCUCGAGUGGCGAACGGGUGAGUAACACGGGAGUAACCUUCCCUUGACUUUGGGAUAACUUCAGGAAACUGGGGCUAAUACCGGAUAGGAGCUCCUGCUGCAUGGUGGGGGUUGGAACGUUUCGGCGGUUGGGGAUGUACUCGCGGCUUAUCAGCUUGUGGGUGGGGUAGUGGCUUACCAAGGCUUUGACGGGUAGCCGGCCUGGGAGGGUGAACGGGCUCCAUGGGACUGCGGUACGCACCAGAGUGCUACGGGGGACAGCAGUGGGGAAUAUUGCACAGUGGUCGGAAGCCUGAUGAAGAAAUGCCGCGAGCGUGAUGACGGCCUAGGGGUUGUAAACCGCUUUAGCCUGUGACGAAGCGUGAGUGACGGUACUGGGUAAAGAAGCACCGGCUAACUACGUG